rnacentral:misc_RNA from 1 species
CCUUUUCAAGUACACGAGCAUCCUUCUUAAGUCAAAUAUAAUAUCCAGUUCUCAAAAAAAUAUUCCUAUCUUAGCACAAAAAGAAAAUUGGUUAUUAUGGAUGAAGUUGCUCCUUUCUAAAUAUUCAAAAUUUUUGUUUUAGGCUUGUCAAUUACAGAUUUACAGUGAUCACAAUAAGGUGGCAGUCAGCAGAACCACGCCUGGUGUAAAUAGCUACCUUAGCAUCUGCAUUCCAUUGCCUGUAUCAGCUAAUUAAAUUGAUUCAUAAUGUACGAUGAAGCCUGACAGUUAAAUCACCCAAAGUUUACUUAUACUUCAGCUUUGCAUAUAUUAUAGGAUAGUCAAAAGAUGACUAGCAAUUCAGUAAAGGUCAUAGAAAAUACAGAAUGAAAAAUCUAGGAAAUUUUCAGAACAGAUCAAACCCUAUACAAGAUUUUACCACCUUGUAAAAUAUGCAGGAAAAGGCCAUACUAAAC